rnacentral:rRNA from 1 species
UGGCGGACGGGUGAGUAAUGUCUGGGAAACUGCCUGAUGGAGGGGGAUAACUACUGGAAACGGUAGCUAAUACCGCAUAACGUCGCAAGACCAAAGAGGGGGACCUUCGGGCCUCUUGCCAUCGGAUGUGCCCAGAUGGGAUUAGCUAGUAGGUGGGGUAAAGGCUCACCUAGGCGACGAUCCCUAGCUGGUCUGAGAGGAUGACCAGCCACACUGGAACUGAGACACGGUCCAGACUCCUACGGGAGGCAGCAUG